rnacentral:rRNA from 1 species
UCUUAGUGGCGGACGGGUGAGUAGCGCGUGGGUAACCUGCCUUAUACAGGGGGAUAACACUUAGAAAUAGGUGCUAAUACCGCAUAAGCGCACGGGGCUGCAUGGCCCAGUGUGAAAAACUCCGGUGGUAUAAGAUGGACCCGCGUCUGAUUAGCUUGUUGGCGGGGUAACGGCCCACCAAGGCGACGAUCAGUAGCCGGCCUGAGAGGGUGGACGGCCACAUUGGGACUGAGACACGGCCCAAACUCCUACGGGAGGCAGCAG